GGCAAGCUAUGAAAACGCAAGUUCGUCUCUUACAUAGAAUAAUGGAGUGUUUUCCCAUUUUUGCCAACGUGCAGCGGCAGUGCUUCCAGACUUCCACGACCACUCCUGCGACUCCCGUAGGACCUGAAUUAGAAGAGGAAUGCCCCCAUGGAUCCGAUCUCAUGAGUGAGUUCCAUGACACAGAAUCUACAGUUUGCUUUGCAUGGAUGGAACAAGAUGAAAAAACGAAACGUCUGGAAAAAAGUUUUGAAACAAGGAAAGUGAAACACUGGAAGCAAGAAUGAAUGCAGUCAUCAGAAUCAUGAAAGGUGGGAUGGACAAAUGGAUCUACAGAUGAGGAAUACACAUCAAGAUCGAGGAACACACUGAAGAGGAGAUUGAUUUAACAGAGGGAAGAACAAACUGCACAGACCCGUGAUGGAUGCCGUUGAAGCUGUGUGCACUCUUCUAGCAAGGCAUCAACUUUUCCAAAAGUGUUUGCGCUCUAGCUUCCAUAAUGCAAAUCAAGUAUUUAAAUUCCCCCUUAUAUGACAGGUGCCCUAAAAACCACCUUGUUGGGAGAUAUAGGUAGCAGGUUGCUGUGCAUGCAACUACAAUAGUUUUUAAGAAAGGAAAUUCGGAAGGAACACGCUUUUUGAAGACUUUGGACUGGAUUGCGGAGGACAAUUAACAUUGUUUUCGAGAAUCAAAAGCUUUGGACUGUAAGCAUAUAAUGUGAAAACUUCUGAGAUUGACUUCUGUUGAAAAGCAACUGUCACAGAGCAAGGGUGAAAGGAUUGAGGCAGCUGAGAAACAUCCUACAGAUGAUUCGUAUGCUUCUGAGGGCUUUCAGGGUAUGUGAACAAAUGUUUACACCUCAGUUUCUAACUCAUUUUGGUUAUUUUCUUGGACCUGCAUUUUUGGUCUAAUUUUCCCAGUUGUGCCAUGACUUGUCAAAAAUAAUGGGCAAAUUUUUUAAAUCAUGCAUGUAAAGUGGUUAAGCACUACUAAUGCCAGAGUGGGCCUACUUUUGCUGUGCCCACUUGAAAACAGCAUUAUAACUCUGAUUGAAAUGAUUUUAAAAAAUCAUAGUAUGAUAUAUCAAUAAUUUAAAAUCUUUGUUUCAGUGGUUUAAUUUACUUGGGGUCAUACCAUAAAUGUGUGCUUGGUGUCUUUUAGCUGUACCAUGUCCCAUUUUGACAAUGUCAUGGUCAAGGUGCCUAUUUUGUGUUGCAACAUGUUUUUAGCAAUUUUUGCCAUUUUCAUCUGCAGUUUGAAUUGAGUUUUGCUAAUAAUAAACGUAAAAUUAGUUAUGCAUAUUUUUCUUUUGAUUUUAUCCAUUGCAAAGCUGCAUGAAACAAAGUAAUUGGGUAGUUUUUAAAUUAAUUUAGAAAACAACAAAAACAGUAGCAACCAAAAGAACAGUAACAAGCAGAACAGUGCACCCAAACGCAUACAAUCACAUAGUGGAAACCGACACAAAAAUAUAAAUUAUUAAGAAAUAAAACAAAAAGAUUAUGAAUAAGUAUCUUGUAGAGUUAACUGUUUAAUGGCAUGAUCUUUGCACUCUCCCCACACAUGCGGGACUUGUGGAAAUCAUCAUGAUAUAAUUAUAUAUCAUGUACCGGUACCCUUGUUGUGGCCUUUGUAACAGAACAAGAUACAUAUUAUUGACAAACUGUUAUUAUGAACUAAACCCAGAAAAAAAAUUGCUGGAGAGAGAAAAACAUGUUUCAUUCUUUGAACAUGUGUAGCCUACCUUUAUGUAUUUUUUUGUUGGUUGAAUUUUCAAAAAGACUUAGAAUUGGAAUUUCGAAAAAAUAUUUCGGGAACACAUAGGCCCUACUGGUACCACAGAUAUAAAAAAAACAGCAAUAAUUUUUUUUCUUCACAGUUUUGGGUUUAGUAAUUUAUAACAGCUGGCCAAUGAUAUGAAGAGCUUUGUAUCAAAAUGGGCUGUCUCCAGUAUAUAUAUGAAAUUUCGCUUUUUUUCAUGUUGAAUACAGUCAGGGUCUUUAACUUUAUUUUUAUACUGCUUUAAAUAAAAUAUUUGGUCGCAAAAUGUGCUGUAACCAUUGAUUUUAUUCCGUUUUGAUUCCGUUUUUUUUCUUCAACAGAUUUAGUGAAUUGAAUAGUCACUUUAUCUGUGUUUUUACAUUUUGGACGUUAAUUUGUAUUUUACUCUGAGACAAAGCCCUUCAUUAUAAUGAUAUGUCAUGUCAUUAUGAGUUAACACAUUGUCAUUCAAAUCAUGUUAUGAUAAAUACUUUUAUUGAAUUGUCACAGAGGCACAGAUCUGAAUCAGUUUUAAAUCACAAGUUUAAGCACAGUAUCUGGAUAACAGAUCACAAAAAUUAAGUUAUUUAUUUAGUUACCUUUCUUGUAAUACUUACAGAUCUUUACACUUAGUUUACCCACCAUGGCAGUGAGAAAUGUGAUGAUCAGCGGGAGGGUUGAAAGAGAAGGCGUCAGUUGUUGAUUUCUUUUCUGUCCCUUGUUUUGUUGUGCUUUUCUUUACUCAAAGUCACAUUAUUGUAGGCCCCUAGGCCUGUUAUGGCUCCUACCCAGAAGUGAAAACAAUAGAUUUAACUAAUAUUUCACUUGAAAAAGUAAAGAACUCACUUCCAAAGGAUAGCCGCUAUUGUCCUUGAAUGGCUUGAACCAAGUAGGCUAGGUUUUGUUUUGUAGCCUACAUAUAGCCUGGCUUGUACCUUUACCUAAAGGAAUUCACUGCAGGUUGAAUUUGUCAAUAACGCAGAUUCUUGCUCUAAAUGACAGUUUCGAAGAUGUGCACAAUACUCCAUACACUUCAACAUUAUGCAAUUUAUGCACCAUCACGUUUCUUCAAUCACAAUAAAAAGACGCCGGUGUAAUUGUCUAAACACGUAAGUCCGAAACACUUUUUUUUGCCGUCCAACAAAAUCUACUUUCACUUCACUCAGAUGUUUUACAUCCAACGUUUGUCGUUUGAUCAAAGACUGGAGGAUUGAAUUGUCAGCCUUAGGUCUGAUGACUUAAUUAAUUAAUAAAAGUAACAUCUCUAUUGGUCAAAUUUACGUGAUCAUCACAGCACGCAACGGGGCAUCCCGGGUUGUGACGUAAAACGCAAAGAAAACCACGAGAAAUUCAGGACUUAUCAUGUUUAGAAAAUUAUACCGACGACAAGAACAUUCAUUAUGAUAGUAAAGCGAGGCAUUUUUCAUGAUAUGUAAAGUAAAGUAAUUAUAGAAUAAAACUGAAUAUUGCACAGUCCGCGUAAGCUUUUCUUAUAACAAUAACAAUGCACAUAGCUUGUUUUUGAGAAAAUUAUCGCACGUUUUUUCCCUUUUACAUGCGAGUCGAAAAAACAAGGAGCAAUAAAAAAGAAAACAAACG
rnacentral:lncRNA from 1 species